CAAGGCUGAGGCGUGAUGACGAGGCACUACGGUGCUGAAGCAACAAAUGCCCUGCUUCCAGGAAAAGCCUCUAAGCAUCAGGUAACAUCAAAUCGUACCCCAAACCGACACAGGUGGUCAGGUAGAGAAUACCAAGGCGCUUGAGAGAACUCGGGUGAAGGAACUAGGCAAAAUGGUGCCGUAACUUCGGGAGAAGGCACGCUGAUAUGUAGGUGAAGCGACUUGCUCGUGGAGCUGAAAUCAGUCGAAGAUACCAGCUGGCUGCAACUGUUUAUUAAAAACACAGCACUGUGCAAACACGAAAGUGGACGUAUACGGUGUGACGCCUGCCCGGUGCCGGAA
rnacentral:rRNA from 1 species